AUUGAACGCUGGCGGCAGGCUUAACACAUGCAAGUCGAGCGGUAACAGAGAUAGCUUGCUAUCUGCUGACGAGCGGCGGACGGGUGAGUAAUGCUUGGGAAUAUGCCUUUAGGUGGGGGACAACAGUUGGAAACGACUGCUAAUACCGCAUAACGUCUACGGACCAAAGGGGGGGAUCUUCGGACCUCUCGCCUAUAGAUUAGCCCAAGUGAGAUUAGCUAGUUGGUGAGGUAAAGGCUCACCAAGGCGACGAUCUCUAGCUGGUUUGAGAGGAUGAUCAGCCACACUGGGACUGAGACACGGCCCAGACUCCUACGGGAGGCAGCAGUGGGGAAUAUUGCACAAUGGGCGAAAGCCUGAUGCAGCCAUGCCGCGUGUGUGAAGAAGGCCUUCGGGUUGUAAAGCACUUUCAGUUGUGAGGAAAGGAGUGUAGUUAAUAGCUGCAUUCUAUGACGUUAGCAACAGAAGAAGGACCGGCUAACUCCGUGCCAGCAGCCGCGGUAAUACGGAGGGUCCGAGCGUUAAUCGGAAUUACUGGGCGUAAAGCGUGCGUAGGCGGUUUGUUAAGUGAGAUGUGAAAUCCCGGGGCUCAACCUCGGAACUGCAUUUCAAACUGGCAAGCUAGAGUACUGUAGAGGGUGGUGGAAUUUCCAGUGUAGCGGUGAAAUGCGUAGAGAUUGGAAGGAACAUCAGUGGCGAAGGCGGCCUGGACAGAUACUGACGCUGAGGCACGAAAGCGUGGGGAGCAAACAGGAUUAGAUACCCUGGUAGUCCACGCCGUAAACGAUGUCUACUAGCCGUUGGGGAGCUUGUCUCUUUAGUGGCGCAGCUAACGCAUUAAGUAGACCGCCUGGGGAGUACGGUCGCAAGAUUAAAACUCAAAUGAAUUGACGGGGGCCCGCACAAGCGGUGGAGCAUGUGGUUUAAUUCGACGCAACGCGAAGAACCUUACCUACUCUUGAAAUCCAGAGAAUUUAGCAGAGAUGCUUUAGUGCCUUCGGGAACUCUGAGACAGGUGCUGCAUGGCUGUCGUCAGCUCGUGUUGUGAAAUGUUGGGUUAAGUCCCGUAACGAGCGCAACCCUUAUCUUUAGUUACCAGCGAGUAAUGUCGGGAACUCUAGGGAGACUGCCGGUGAUAAACCGGAGGAAGGUGGGGACGACGUCAAGUCAUCAUGGCCCUUACGAGUAGGGCUACACACGUGCUACAAUGGUACAUACAAAGGGUUGCGAAGCCGCGAGGUCGAGCCAAUCCCAAAAAGUGUAUCGUAGUCCGGAUCGGAGUCUGCAACUCGACUCCGUGAAGUCGGAAUCGCUAGUAAUCGUAGAUCAGAAUGCUACGGUGAAUACGUUCCCGGGCCUUGUACACACCGCCCGUCACACCAUGGGAGUGGGCUGCACCAGAAGUAGAUAGCUUAACCCUUCGGGGGGGGGUUACCACUUUGUGAUUCAUGACUGGGGUG
rnacentral:rRNA from 1 species